UUUGUGGUGAUGAGCCACUAACAUGUAAGAAGAAACCGUAUGAUAUGGUUAUGGUUUUCUCCAUGAAAUGUGCUUGUUACGCUUGGCUUCUAAGUUUC